AUUCUAUCCAUGUGGGGAAGGAUGAGAAGCUUCGACUAAGGUUCGAUUCGAGCGCAGCGAGAAAGCGUUGCCGCAGGCAACGACCCGAAGGGCGAAGCGCGCAGCGCUGAGUAAUCCUUCCCCUACCACCA
rnacentral:sRNA from 11 species